GACAGGAAGGGUGUCCCUUCUCAGAGGUAGCACUUUGUCAGCAGUUCCUCUCGACUGCUCUGCCUUCCAUUUUUCCUUUCCUCAGUUCCUGGACAAGCCUCGGAGGACCAGGCAGAACCCUCUGGCUAUCAGAAAAGCUCGCACCCCCGCACCCUUGCGGCGUCUGCUUCAGACCCUCCACGCAGGCGCCCGCUGGAGCGCCUGCUGGGGAUGGCGUACCACCGACCCUUGAGGCUUUUUAAAAACGUAAACUUUUUUGAAGCUCAGUGUAUGUACUUUAAAAUUCGCAAAUUAUAUACGUGCAGCUUCAUGAAUUUUCAAAGUGAAUGUAUCCAUGAAACCAGUGCCCAAAUCAAGAAAUGGAAUGCCUUUUUGAAGUUUGAGGCCGGGCGCGGUGGCUCACUCCUGUAAACCUACCACUUUGGGAGGCCGAGGCGGGCGGAUCACGAGGUCAGGAGAUCGAGACCAUCCUGGCUAACACGGUGAAACUCCGUCUCUACUAAAAAUACAAAAAAAUUAGCCUGGCAUGGUAGCGGGCGCCUGUAGUCCCAGCUACUCGGGAGGCUGAGGCAGGAGAAUGGCGUGAACCUGGGAGGCGGAGCUUGCAGUGAGCCGGGAUCACACCACUGCACUCCAGUCUAGGUGAGAGUGAGACUCCGUCUCAAAAAAAAAAAAAAAAAAAAGAAAAAAUUCAUUUAUAUUUUUUCCAAUUUUUAUGGCGGUAAAAUACAUAUAACAUAAAAUUUAUCACUUUACCUAUUUGUAAGUGUACAGUUCGGUGGUAUUAAAUGCAUUCAUAAUACUGUGCAUCACCGUCAUCCAUCUCAAGAACUCUUUUAAUUUUAUAAAAUGAAAACUCCAUAUUCAUUAAAAAAGUAACUCCUCAUUCUCUCCUUUCCUCUGCCCCUGGCAACCACCAUUCUACUUUCUGUCUCUUUAAAUUUGACUACUCUGGGUAGCUCAUACAAGUGGAAUUAUACAGUAUUUGUCUUUUUGUGACUGGCUUAUUUCACUUAGCAUAAUGUCCUAAAGAGCCGUCUAUAUUUUAACACACAUUAGAAUUUCCUUUCUUUUUAGGGUUGAAUGAUAU